CUUCCCCACUAUUGGCGGUCAAAGUGGCCCCGACUCGGGAUGACAAUUGACGGGGAUCAAGGGAUUGCCCAUUCUGUGCCUGUAAGAACGGAUUCGUGCCAGAGAAACUCAUCAAGUGGAGGCGGAGAAUAAAGACCGUUCGGGGGGACGCCCGACGUUGCAAACAGGAACCGAAGCGUGGGGACCCUCCAGGUCCGGCUUGUCAAUGCGACCAUUGCUUUGAUGGGAGGCUCCUCAAGGUGACACAUUUCUGAACUUCACCCCCUUUUCAAACUAACUCCCUACCUCCUUGUUAGUGGCCAGCUCUGAACUUCUGCAGAGUGUUUUUGUGUGAGUCAAGGCUCAUUCACGGGCGCUUUUGUGGGCCUCUCCUC